UACAGAGGGUGCGAGCGUUGUUCGGAAUUAUUGGGCGUAAAGCGCUUGUAGGCGGCCUGUCAAGUCGCGUGUGAAAUCCCCUGGCUUAACCAGGGAAGUGCGCGCGAAACUGAAGGGCUUGAGUGCCGGAGAGGGUCGCGGAAUUCCCGGUGUAGAGGUGAAAUUCGUAGAUAUCGGGAGGAACACCAGUGGCGAAGGCGGCGACCUGGACGGACACUGACGCUGAGGUGCGAAAGCGUGGGGAGCGAACAGG
rnacentral:rRNA from 1 species